AAUAGAUACCCGGGUAGUCCACGCCGUAAACGAUGAGUGCUAAGUGUUAGAGGGUUUCCGCCCUUUAGUGCUGCAGCUAACGCAUUAAGCACUCCGCCUGGGGAGUACGGCCGCAAGGCUGAAACUCAAAGGAAUUGACGGGGGCCCGCACAAGCGGUGGAGCAUGUGGUUUAAUUCGAAGCAACGCGAAGAACCUUACCAGGUCUUGACAUCCUCUGACAACCCUAGAGAUAGGGCUUUCCCCUUCGGGGGACAGAGUAACAGGUGGUGCAUGGUUGUCGUCAGCUCGUGUCGUGAGAUGUUGGGUUAAGUCCCGCAACGAGCGCAACCCUUGAUCUUAGUUGCCAGCAUUCAGUUGGGCACUCUAAGGUGACUGCCGGUGACAAACCGGAGGAAGGUGGGGAUGACGUCAAAUCAUCAUGCCCCUUAUGACCUGGGCUACACACGUGCUACAAUGGAUGGUACAAAGGGCUGCAAACCUGCGAAGGUAAGCGAAUCCCAUAAAGCCAUUCUCAGUUCGGAUUGCAGGCUG
rnacentral:rRNA from 1 species